GUGGUAGCCUAUCAAAUGCCACACAUACACUAAAACUGGAACAAUAGAGAGAAGAUUAGUGUGUCCUGUGCACAAUGAUGGCACGCAAAUGCAUAAAAGGUUCCACAUUUUG